GAACCCUGACAAGACCGUGGCAAGGGCAGAAAAGCACAGGGACCAAGCACACACUGACAUGACGGAUGCAGCUGGGGCUCUGUCCGCUGCCAGUGAUUUGAGCUGUGUGAAGCACUAAGACAGCAGCCAACGUGAGUGCAUGACCAAGCAUGUAUCUGGUGCUCCCAUGGAAUAUACCUGGAGUGUGAACUUUCAGCCUUCGCUU